rnacentral:rRNA from 1 species
AGUGAACGCUGGCGGUAGGCCUAACACAUGCAAGUCGAACGGCAGCACAGUAAGAGCUUGCUCUUACGGGUGGCGAGUGGCGGACGGGUGAGGAAUACAUCGGAAUCUACUUUUUCGUGGGGGAUAACGUAGGGAAACUUACGCUAAUACCGCAUACGACCUACGGUUGAAAGCAGGGGAUCUUCGGACCUUGCGCGAUUGAAUGAGCCGAUGUCGGAUUAGCUAGUUGGCGGGGUAAAGGCCCACCAAGGCGACGAUCCGUAGCUGGUCUGAGAGGAUGAUCAGCCACACUGGAACUGAGACACGGUCAAGACUCCUAAGGGAGGCAGCAGUGGGGAAUAUUGGACAAUGGGGGGAAGCCUGAUCCAGCCAUACCGCGUGGGUGAAGAAGGCCUUCGGGUUGUAAAGACCUUUUGUUGGGAAAGAAAAGCAGCAGGUUAAUACCCAGCUGUUCUGACGGUACCCAAAGAAUAAGCACCGGCUAACUUCGUG